rnacentral:rRNA from 1 species
AUUGAACGCUGGCGGCAUGCCUUACACAUGCAAGUCGAACGGUAACAGGUCUUCGGAUGCUGACGAGUGGCGAACGGGUGAGUAAUACAUCGGAACGUGCCCGAUCGUGGGGGAUAACGAAGCGAAAGCUUUGCUAAUACCGCAUAAGAUCUACGGAUGAAAGCAGGGGACCGCAAGGCCUUGCGCGAACGGAGCGGCCGAUGGCAGAUUAGGGAGUUGGUGGGAUAAAAGCUUACCAAGCCGACGAUCUGUAGCUGGUCUGAGAGGACGACCAGCCACACUGGGACUGAGACACGGCCCAGACUCCUAUGGGAGGCAGCAGUGGGGAAUUUUGGACAAUGGGCGAAAGCCUGAUCCAGCCAUGCCGCGUGCAGGAUGAAGGCCUUCGGGUUGUAAACUGCUUUUGUACGGAACGAAAAGACUCUUUCUAAUAAAGAGGGUCCAUGACGGUACCGUAAGAAUAAGCACCGGCUAACUACGUGCCAGCAGCCGCGGUAAGAC